CGGGGUGGGGGUGGCGGGUACUGAGUGGGAAUGAUUAGAAUAAAAUUGAGGACUCUAGCAGCGGACUUAGAAUGGUAUCAGCGGGUUCUCAUCCUACAACCUGACUUUGGAAGUUGGAGAUAAGGGGUGUCUAGGGGUUGGGUCAGACUCCAGUUUUGGAGUCUGACUCACAGUUGGGCGGAGCCAAGGCCCCCUGAGGCUGAGCCAGAACCUCUGAGAGUGAACCUGGAGACUCAGAGGGCAGCUGGCAGGGCUCACAGUGUGGGGUCCCACCCUGCAGAGGCUGGGUCAGGCCCUCAAGGGCUGGGUUGCUGGCUUCAAGAGGCUGGGCCAGGAUGUCAAGGGGCGGAGUUCCGGGUUCCACAGCUGGGACAGUGUUGCCCAGAGCUGAUUCCUGGGACUUGCAGAAACGUGCGAAGCUGCUCCUGCCGCACGUCCACCAGGUACCUGCAGAUGGGAAGCGCCCUGUCAGGGACCCAGAUUUUGAUCCCCAGCCAGGAUGUUCCCCACCCUCCACCCCACUGACUCACCGGGCUAAUUCCACAAUCAAGUUCCCUCCGGGUGCCACACAGGCCCCAAGCUCAGGGAUGAGAAGAUGGACCAUACUGCAGAGAGGACGGAGGACAGGCUGAGAUUCAGCUCCAAAUCCGGAGGGAGGAUGGGGCUCUGGGAUCCCAGACAAUGAGGGAGGAGGGGUGGCAAAACUGGAGUCUGGGUCCUGGGGAAAGAAGGGAGCAGGAGGUCUGGACUCCUGGGUCUGAGGGAGGAGGGGCUGGGGGCCUGGACCCCUGGGUCUAAGCAAGGAGGGGCUGGGGGCCUGGACUCCUGGGUCUGAGGGAGGAGGGGCUGGGGGCCUGAUCCUGGGUCUUUGUGAGCACAGCUGCCUCCCCGCUUACCCACAGGCCACAUAGAGGAGCUGGAAUCGGCCGUUGUAGCAGCUCUUGUGGUGGAGAGUCUGAGCAGAAUUGAGCGGCAGGAAGUGGACGGUGAAAGAUUCCGGGGUCGGGGCUGCUGGGGGAAGGGGAUAGAGGGGUCACCUCUGACAGGCGGAGCCAUAAGGGCGGAAAACCAGAGAGAUACACAGAGCUGGGCAGAGCUGGGCAGGCACACAGGACUUGGAGAUAACACUUUUUGUCCUCUUGCAGCUUUUUAAAAAAUCCUCUAAGGUAGGCUCCUGGAAAGUUCUGGGAAGGUCAGCCUGGCAGGCAGAGACUCACUGUACAGAUCAGGCAACUGAGACUCUAGAGAGGGAAAGAGGGUGGGUGGCCAGGGCCACAUGUGACAUGCCCUGUCAGACAGACACGCAGGGAGGGCCAGGUUGGAGGAUGGCUGGAAGGAGGCCCAGCCAGGAUCCAGGGUGUGGGAGGCUGUCCAAGGGGGAGCUGGGACCCAGCACCCUGUGAGAAUAUUCUUGGAUAGCUUAGCCCUCUGCAGAUAAGAUUAGAAUUCUGCUAGUGGAAUUCAGAAUUCUAAGCAUGCUCUCAGAAUUUAGGAAAGGGAGAGAAAGAGAGAAAAAGAGACAGAAUAUCAAGAAGCCGUCACUUGCCCAGGCAUUCCAAAUCAUGUCAGUCCACACUCCAGUGUGAAACACCUGGAGGCUGGAGUCCCUGGCUUACCUGUUGUUGUCCCUGGCUUACCUGGAGUCCCUGGCUCCGGGCUUCCCUCCGCGUGCUGCUGCUCCUCCAGGUCCCCCCCGGUGGCUCUCGCGCGCCCCCAGGCGGCCACGUCGCGGAGCAGCUCCGUCACGUUGUGUUGAGUGAUCUCCCCGGCCGUCUAACAGUAGAAGGGGCGUGGCCAGACGUCGGGGCCAGGAUGGCGGGGCGGGGCUUAGAACGCUGGGAGUCCUCGGUCCAGGACUAGAACUCCCGCAGCUGCUUGGAGGAUGUGAAGUGGGGCGGGACCUAUCCCGCGGGGAUGGGGCCUGUUCUCUGAAUGGAGUCGUUCCCACCAAGCGACGGGCGGGGUCUGGAGCUGGGGGCGGGGCCUGCUGUGGGGGCGGGGCCUUGCGCACCCACCGACCCCCAGCCCCACCUCUACCCCCAGUCCCAGCCUCGCCGCGCACCUUGACUGGCUGGCCGUUGCUCGUCCGCAGGAGGCUCUCGUCGUCCGCUUCGAUGCCGAAGGCCACGAAGGGCCCCGUGGCGAUGUCCCCCCAGUACCCGCGCGCUGCCACGCGCUCCCCACGCUGGAAAAGGAGGGAGAGAGGAGGCAGGUAAUCUAGAGAUGAUUUGCGGUGUAUGGGACCAUGUGUACAGGCUAUUUGUAAGUACAUCUUUUUUGUUUUGAGACAGUGUCUCACUCUGUUGCCCAGGCUGAAUGCAGUUGUGCCAUCAUAGUUCACUGUUACCUCGACCACCUGAGCUUAAGGGACCCUCCUCCUCCAGCUUCCCAGCUAGCUGGGGCUAGGCAUUAGCUACCACACCCAGCUAAUGUUUUAUUUCUUUUUCUUUUCUUUUUCUUUUUUUUUUUUUUUUUUUUUUUUUUUUUUGAGACGGAGUCUCGCUCUGUCGCCUAGACUGUAGUGCAGUGGCGCGAUCCCGGCUCACUGCAAGCUCCGCCUCCCGGGUUCACGCCAUUCUUCUGCCUCAGCCUCCGGAGUAGCUGGGACUACAAGCGCCCGCCACCACACCCGGCUAAUUUUUUGUAUUUUUAGUAGAGACGGGGUUUCACGUGUUAGCCAGGAUGGUCUCGAUCUCCUGACCUCGUGAUCCACCCGCCUCAGCCUCCCAAAGUGCUGGGAUUACAGGCGUGAGCCAUCGCGCCCGGCGGCUAAUUUUUUUUUUUUUUUUUUUGUAUUUUUAGUAGAGACGGGGUUUCACCGUGUUAGCCAGGAUGGUCUCGAUCUCCUGACCUCGUGAUCUGCCUGCCUCGGUCUCCCAAAGUGCUGGGAUUACAGGCGUGAGCCACCGCGCCCGGCCAAUAUUUUAUUUCUUGUAGAGACGGGGUCUCACUAUGUUGACCAGGCCAGUCUCAAACUCGUGGUCUCAAGCAGUCCUCCCACCUCAGGCUCCCAAAGUGUUAGGAUUACAGGCGUGAGCCACCGCCCCUGGCAAUACUAUACAAUUUUAUAAGGGACUUGAGCAUCCUUGGAUCUUGGUAUCUGCAGGGGUCCUGGAACCAGUCCCCAGUGUUACUGAGGGAUGACUGUAUAUACCUUUGCAUAUAAUAUAUAUACACAUAGACAUACAAAUAGUUUCAUGUUAGUUGUUUAAGAACUUAAUAGAAGAGAACUAUGUGCCUUUAGUAAAAUAGAUCAGUUUAGUUCUAACUGUUUAAGAACUUUGAACAAUCUGUACUGUGCAAUGUACUCUGAAUUCCCUGGGUCAUUAAUGACUGAUAUGGUUUGGAUCUGUGUCCCUGCUUAAAUCUCAUGUUGAAUUGUAAUCCCCAAUAUUGGAGGCGGGGCCUGGUGGGAGGUGAUUGGGUCACAGGGGCAGAUUUCUCCCUUGCUGUUCUCGUGAUAGUGAGUUCCCACAAAAUCUGGUUAUUUGCAAGUGUGCGCCUCUUCCCCACUGCCUCUCUUGCCCCUUUUCCUGCCGUGGAACAGAUGCCUGCAUCCCCUUCGCCUCCUGUCAUGAUUGUAAGUUUCCUGAGGCCUUCCCAGCCAUACUCCCUGUACAGCCUGUGGAACUGUGAGUCAAUUAAACCUCUUUUCUUGGGGCCGGGUGUGAUCGCACCCGCCUGUAAACCUAGCACUUUGGCAGGCCAAGGCGGGCGGAUCACCUGAGGUCAGCAUCUCGAGACCAUCCUGGCCAACAUGGUGAAACCCCGGCUCUACUAAAAAUACAAAACCUUAGCCGGGCAUGGUGGUGCAUGCCUGUAAUCCCAGCUACUUGGGAGACUGAGGCAGGAGAAUUGCUUGAAUCCAGGAGGCAGAGGUUAUGGAGAGCCAAGAUCGUGCCAUUGCACUCCAAUCUGGGCAACGGGACAAGACUCUGCCUCAAAUAAAUAAAUAAAUAAACAAACAAACCUGUUUUCUUUUUCUUUCUUUCUUUUUUUUUUAGAUGGAGGUUUUGCUUUUGUCGCCCAGGCUGGAGUGCAGUGGUGUGAUCUCGGCUCACUGCAACCUCUGCCUCCCGGGUUCAAGUGAUUCUCCUGCUUCAGCCUCCCGAGUAGCUGGGACUACAGGCGCCUGCCACCACACCCGGCUAAUUGUUGUAUGUUUAGUAGAGACGGGGUUUCACCAUGUUGAGCAGGAUGGUCUCGAUCUCCUGACCUCGUGAUCUGCCCACCUCAGCCUCCCAAAGUGCUGGGAUUACAGGUGUGAACCACUGCACCCAGCCUCUCCUGGAAUUUUCUAAGUGGCUCUAAGAUGUAUUAUAUUUAGCCCCAUUUUACAGGUAGGAGGAGCUGAGGCUCUAAGAUGGCAAAUUACAUCAGAGGGGACCAUCAUCAAUAAAUAUAUUGGAUUUUUUUUUUCAUCAGAGGUACCACACUGGAAAAUACCAAACAUUUUUGGUUUUUAGAUGGAGUUUCGCUCUCUUUUUUUUUUUUUUUUUUUUUUUUUUGAGACGGAGUCUCGCUCUGUCACCCUGGCUGGAGUGCAGUGGCGCGAUCUCAGCUCACUGCAAGCUCCGCCUGCCGGGUUCACGCCAUUCUCCUGCCUCGGCCUCCCAAAGUGCUGGGAUUAACAGGCGUGAGCCACCGCGCCCGGCCGGAGUUUCGCUCUUGUUGCCUAGGCUGGAGUGCAAUGGCGCGAUCUCGGCUCACUGUAACCUCCGCCUCCCAGGAAAAUAACCAAACUUUUUAAUUGUACCAUUGAAAUGCCAGAAUCCCUCUAGGGAGGGGGAGGAGACCAGCGGUCAGAAUGCCUGGGUCCUAGCAACAGACCUUGCAGCCCCAUCUUCUCCGGUUCCUCCAGGGCUAGGCUGAAGAUCAGCAUGUGUCGGGCCACAGCUUCCAGAUUAUUCUCCAGCACAAAGAACUAGAAGGAUGGACAGGGCAGAAUAAUUCUGAGACCUGUUUGCCUGGGUCCUAGGAGACCCAGGAGAGCAGGCCCUCAGCUCUCUCCUUCCACACACCCGAGUUCUGUACACCAGCCUCUUCCUUCAAACACAGAAGUCUGUGUCCCCAGAGCUCUCUUCCCUUCCAUUACUCAGAAGACCUCAUCCUCGAGCUCUUCCCCACUAUAGAACCCAGGAGUUCCAAACCCCAGCCCCUUCCUUCCCCCAAGACGCAUCGGUUCGCUCCCAGCUUCUGCCUCCCUCAGAUCUAGGAGUCUCCAGCCCCUUCAUUCCUGGACCUGAGGUUUUAGAAUUUCAAUCCCUUCCUCCCUCAAGGACUCGGGAAUCUGGGCUCUCAUCUUCAUCCCAGCUCACGUUGAACCUCCUGCGAGGCCAGAACUUCGCUCGGGACAGGGUCCGCAGCAGGUGCCGUCCAUCCACAGAGCCCAGAAGCAGCACAUCUAGCUCGGGGUUGCUGUGCACUGUAUCGGCCUGGGAGUCUGGGUCCACAGGAGGACCUGGCAAGAUGACAGCUGGCUGGGGCACCAUGGUGGUUGGCAGAGCGUCCACCGUAGCAUCCCCUAUAAAAAAUGGACUACAAAUCCCAG
rnacentral:lncRNA from 10 species